rnacentral:rRNA from 1 species
AUACGUAGGAUCCGAGCAUUAUCCGGAGUGACUGGGUGUAAAGAGUUGCGUAGGUGGCAUAGUAAGUAGAUAGUGAAAUCUGGUGGCUCAACCAUUCAGACUAUUAUCUAAACUGCUAAGCUCGAGAGCGUUAGGGGUAGCUGGAAUUUCUAGUGUAGGCGUGAAAUCCGUAGAUAUUAGAAAGAACACCGAUAGCGUAGGCAGGCUACUGGGACGUUUCUGACACUAAGGCACGAAAGCGUGGGGAGCAAACGGGAUUAGAUACCCCGGUAGUCCACGCUGUAAACGAUGGAUGCUAGCAGUUCCGGGUAUCGACCCCCGAAGUUGCGAAGCUAACGCGUUAAGCAUCCCACCUGUGUAGUACGGCCGCAAGGCUAAAACUUAAAGGAAUUGACGGGG